CCUACGGGAGGCAGCAGUGAGGAAUAUUGGACAAUGGGCGCAAGCCUGAUCCAGCCAUGCCGCGUGCAGGAAGAAGCAUCUAUGGUGUGUAAACUGCUUUUGUACAGGAAGAAACACUCCCUCGUGAGGGAGCUUGACGGUACUGUAAGAAUAAGGACCGGCUAACUCCGUGCCAGCAGCCGCGGUAAUACGGAGGGUCCGAGCGUUAUCCGGAAUCAUUGGGUUUAAAGGGUCCGUAGGCGGUUUAAUAAGUCAGUGGUGAAAUCUGGUCGCUCAACGAUCAAACGGCCAUUGAUACUGUUAGACUUGAAUUAUAAGGAAGUAACUAGAAUAUGUAGUGUAGCGGUGAAAUGCUUAGAUAUUACAUGGAAUACCAAUUGCGAAGGCAGGUUACUACUUAUGGAUUGACGCUGAUGGACGAAAGCGUGGGGAGCGAACAGGAUUAGAUACCCUGGUAGUCCACGCCGUAAACGAUGGAUACUAGCUGUUCGGAGCAAUCUGNGUGNGUAGACGAAGUAGAGUAAGUAAGUACCGACCGUCGGGUAGGUAACGGUUCGUCGAAGAAGUAGUUAAACGUUAAAGGUAAAGUUAGUUACGGCGUGAGACGUUGCCGACGGACGACGACGAGGGAGGAGG
rnacentral:rRNA from 1 species